GGCGCUAUAGCCAAGUGGUUACGGCGACAGAUUUGAAUCUUAUGCAUUAUCUGUUCCUCUUUGAGGGCGCAGGUUCGAACCCUGCUGGCGUCG